UACAGAGGGUGCAAGCGUUGUUCGGAAUUAUUGGGCGUAAAGGGCGCGUAGGCGGUGCGGUAAGUCUGUAGUGAAAUCUAUGGGCUCAACCCAUAGUCUGCAGGCGAAACUGUCGGGCUUGAGUAUGGGAGAGGUGAGUGGAAUUUCCGGUGUAGCGGUGAAAUGCGUAGAUAUCGGAAGGAACACCUGUGGCGAAAGCGGCUCACUGGACCAUUACUGACGCUGAUGCACGAAAGCUAGGGGAGCAAACAGG
rnacentral:rRNA from 1 species